rnacentral:rRNA from 1 species
UACGUAGGGUGCGAGCGUUGUCCGGAAUUACUGGGCGUAAAGAGCUCGUAGGUGGUUUGUCGCGUUGUUCGUGAAAACUCACAGCUUAACUGUGGGCGUGCGGGCGAUACGGGCAGACUGGAGUACUGCAGGGGAGACUGGAAUUCCUGGUGUAGCGGUGGAAUGCGCAGAUAUCAGGAGGAACACCGGUGGCGAAGGCGGGUCCCUGGGCAACAACUGACGCUGAGGAGCGAAAGCGUGGGGAGCAAACGGG